UGGACUAUAUGGAAGAGAGAAUGCCGGAAUGAGUAGCGAGAUAGAGGUGGGAAUCCUCUAGGCCGAAUAUCCAAGGUUUCCAGGGUAAAGCUGAUCUGCCCUGGGUGAGUCGGGACCUAAGGUGAGGGCGAGAGCCGUAGCCGAUGGACAACAGGUUGAUAUUCCUGUACUGCAGUAUAACAGAACUGUGGGGACAUGUAAGGAGAGCGGGAGCCGGGAAUGGAAAGCCCGGUACAAGCGAGGUACCAGUAUGGUAGGAAAAACCGCCAUGCAAUGGGAAGACGUGAUGUGGAGUGAAAUAUAGUAACGAAGCCCGUGAGCCAUGCGUCAAGAAAAGCCGCUAUUGUUUAUAUUGUACCCGUACCGUAAACCGACACAGGUGGAUGAGGAGAGAAUCCUAAGGCCGGCGGAAGAAGUAUUGCCAAGGAACUCGGCAAAAUGGCCCCGUAACUUAGGGAGAAGGGGUGCCUGCGAGAGCAGGCCGCAGAGAAUAGGCUCAAGCAACUGUUUAGCAAAAACACAGGUCUAUGCGAAACCGAAAGGUGAGGUAUAUGGGCUGACGCCUGCCCGGUGCUGGAAGGUUAAGAGGAGAGGUUAGACGCAAGUCGAAGCUUUGAAUUUAAGCCCCAGUAAACGGCGGCCGUAACAAUAACGGUCCUAAGGUAGCGAAAUUCCUUGUCGGGUAAGUUCCGACCCGCACGAAAGGCGUAAUGAUUUGAGCGCUGUCUCGGCAAUACAUCCGGUGAAAUUGAAGUGCCAGUGAAGAUGCUGGCUACCCGCGCCAGGACGGAAAGACCCCAUGGAGCUUUACUCCAGUUUGGCACUGGGGUCCGGUGUUGCAUGUACAGGAUAGGUGGGAGGCUGAGAGAUAGUGACGUCAGUUGCUAUGGAGCCGCUGUUGGGAUACCACCCUUGUGAUAUUGGGCUUCUAACCAGCCGCCGUGAACCGGCGGUGGGACAAUGCCAGGCGGGGAGUUUGACUGGGGCGGUCGCCUCCGAAAGGGUAUCGGAGGCGCCCAAAGGUUCCCUCAGAAUGGACGGAAACCAUUCGAAGAGUGCAAAGGCAGAAGGGAGCUUGACUGCGACACCGACGGGUGGGGCAGGUACGAAAGUAGGGCUUAGUGAUCCGGUGGUAUUAAGUGGGAAUGCCAUCGCUCAACGGAUAAAAGCUACCCUGGGAUAACAGGCUUAUCACUCCCAAGAGUUCACAUCGACGGAGUGGUUUGGCACCUCGAUGUCGGCUCAUCGCAUCCUGGGGCUGUAGUAGGUCCCAAGGGUUGGGCUGUUCGCCCAUUAAAGCGGUACGCGAGCUGGGUUCAGAACGUCGUGAGACAGUUCGGUCCCUAUCCGGCGUGGGCGUAGGAUAUCUGAGAGGAGCUGUCCUUAGUACGAGAGGACCGGGAUGGACGGGCCGCUGGUGGACCGGUUGGCUUGCCAAAGCCAUGGCCGGGUAGCCAAGUCCGGAAGGGAUAAACGCUGAAGGCAUCUAAGCGUGAAGCCCCCCUCAAGAUGAGAUAUCCCAUUCUUUAAGGAGUAAACCCCCUUGAAGACGACGAGGUAGAUAGGGCAGAGGUGGAAGUGUGGUAACACAUGGAGCUGACUGUUACUAAUCGGGUGAGGGCUUGACC
rnacentral:rRNA from 1 species